UCGACGGAAAGGCCUGCAGCUUGCUGCGGGUACUCGAGUGGCGAACGGGUGAGUAACACGUGGGUGAUCUGCCUUGCACUUCGGGAUAAGCUUGGGAAACUGGGUCUAAUACCGGAUAGGACAGCUGUUUAGUGUCAGUUGUGGAAAGUUUUUUCGGUGCAAGAUGAGCUCGCGGCCUAUCAGCUUGUUGGUGGGGUAAUGGCCUACCAAGGCGUCGACGGGUAGCCGGCCUGAGAGGGUGUACGGCCACAUUGGGACUGAGAUACGGCCCAGACUCCUACGGGAGGCAGCAGUGGGGAAUAUUGCACAAUGGGCGGAAGCCUGAUGCAGCGACGCCGCGUGGGGGAUGAAGGCCUUCGGGUUGUAAACUCCUUUCGACAGGGACGAAGCGUAAGUGACGGUACCUGUAUAAGAAGCACCGGCUAACUACGUGCCAGCAGCCGCGGUAAUACGUAGGGUGCGAGCGUUGUCCGGAAUUACUGGGCGUAAAGAGCUCGUAGGUGGUUUGUCGCGUCGUCUGUGAAAUUCCGGGGCUUAACUCCGGGCGUGCAGGCGAUACGGGCUGACUUGAGUGCUGUAGGGGAGACUGGAAUUCCUGGUGUAGCGGUGAAAUGCGCAGAUAUCAGGAGGAACACCGAUGGCGAAGGCAGGUCUCUGGGCAGUAACUGACGCUGAGGAGCGAAAGCAUGGGUAGCGAACAGGAUUAGAUACCCUGGUAGUCCAUGCCGUAAACGGUGGGCGCUAGGUGUAGGGGGCUUCCACGUCUUCUGUGCCGUAGCUAACGCAUUAAGCGCCCCGCCUGGGGAGUACGCCGCAAGGCUA
rnacentral:rRNA from 1 species